GCUAGUAUAGUGUAAUGGCUAACAUACCUCAUUCACAUUGAGGAGAAUGGGGUUCGAUUCCCCUCACUAGAG